rnacentral:tRNA from 2 species
UUUAAUAUGGCAGAAUUAGUGCAAUGGACUUAAAUUCCUUAAAUAAAGAUUUUAUCUUUUAUUAAAA